UACGUAGGGGGCAAGCGUUGUCCGGAUUUACUGGGCGUAAAGAGCGUGUAGGCGGCCAAGCAGGUCCGUUGUGAAAACUGGAGGCUUAACCUCCAGACGUCGACGGAAACCGCGUGGCUAGAGUCCGGAAGAGGAGAGUGGAAUUCCUGGUGUAGCGGUGAAAUGCGCAGAUAUCAGGAAGAACACCAGUGGCGAAGGCGGCUAGCUGGCCUGUAACUGACGCUGAGGCGCGAAGGCUAGGGGAGCGAACAGG
rnacentral:rRNA from 1 species